rnacentral:lncRNA from 1 species
CCAACACGUGUUCUAACUCCAGCGCAGUGGAAGUGUCAACCCACUGGUCACCUGUCUUGGGUGUUAUCGAGACUGUUGUAUACAUUCCACCUCAGGAUAAGACAAAUAACACGUUGGCACUUAAAACAAACUCUACAAGUCUAUAAACAAGCAAGAGAACCAACAUCCAGGGGCUGCUUUUCUGGUUGCUGGAGACUUUAAUUUUGCGUCACUAAGACACCAUCAACAUUUCUCCAAUGCCACUAGGGGCGAUAAAGUCCUAGGCCACUGUUAUUCUACCCACAAGCAAGCAUACAAGGCCCUCCCUCAUCCACCAUUUGGCAAAUCAGAUAAUGACUCCGUACUCUUGCUUCAUAUUUACGAGCAGAAACUCAAACAGGAAGUACCCGUGACUCGCUCUGUUGAGAAAUGGUCACCAGAAUUAGAGAUGAUGCUACAGGACUGCUUUGCUAGCAGUGAUUGGAAUAUGUUUAGAGACUCCGCCAAUAAUAUUGAUGAGCUAACCACCUCAGACACUGGCUUCAUCAGAAAAUGUAUCAGCGACGUUGUCCCCACGGUGAGGGUUCUCAGCUUCCCCAAUCAAAUGCCCUGGAUUAACACCGAGAUUGGAACUAAACUAAAGAACAGGGCUACAACACACAGAGCUAUCGUAGACAACCCUGAGGAUAUGGCCGAGAACAGGAAUAAGUACAUGAAGUCCCGCUAGGACCUCCGCAAAGUCAUUAAACGAGCGAAAUGACAAUAUAGGAAUAAGAUCAAAUCAUACUACACAGGUUCCGACGCCCGCCGCAUGUGGCAGGGGCUACAGUCCGUUAGGUUAGUGCAUCAUUUUAGCUGGUUUUAUGGUUUUGGUGACCCUGUCUUUGACUUGACAAAACAUUACACACAACUCUUGUAAAUGUACUGUCCUAACAUACCUCUUGGGGCUAGGUGGGACGCUAGCGUGCCACCCGUGGUGCACUCCAUCAACAGCAGGUGCAUUUCAAGAGCGGCAAAUUUGAAUCCAAAUAAAUGUCAAAAUUCAAAUUUUUCAAAAAUACAACUAUUUUACACCAUUUGAAAGAUAAACAUCUCCUUAAUCUAACCACGUUUUACGAUUUCAAAAAGGUUUUACGGCGAAAGCAUAAAUUUAGAGUAUGUUAGGACAGUACAUUUACAAGAGUUGUGUGUAAUGUUUUGUCAAGUCAAAGACAGAGUCACCAAAACCAUAAAAUCAGCUAAAAUGAUGCACUAACCUUUUACAAUCUCCAUCAGAUGACACUCCUAGGACAUUAUGUUAG